GUUGUGCGGGAAUCCGAGCCUGAUGAGACAGAGAUCAGUUGGAACUGUUGGCUCUUUGUGGCAGUUGGUCUCAGUUCAAAUGGAGAGUGGAAAAUGACUUGAUGACUGCAGCCCGCUGCAGCCUGCUGCGCCCUGCUGCAGCCUGCUGCGCCCUGCUGCAGCCUGCUGCGCCCUGCUGCAGCCUGCUGCGCCCUGCUGCAGCCUGCUGCGCCCUGCUGCAGCCCUGCUGCGCCCUGCUGCAUUCUGCUGCGCCCUGCUGCAGCCUGCUGCAGCCUGCUGUGUGGUAGGCAGUUAACACUCACAUCUUCACAGUCGGUUAUGGAUGAGACAUUUUUCGUUGUUGUUUCCUGGAAAUUUUGGACACUGCCUUGCGGACCGUUUUCUUUUUAUUUGACAUUUCAACAAACUGCUGUGUAAGAGAUUCUCCUUAUGUGAAUGAUGUUGAGUGAGACCUGAAUUGGGAUUUAAUUUGAUUGAUUUGUUUUGCCGUUUUGGAUUGAAGUUUGGAUUUUGACCCCAUUUUUGCCGUUUACAGCCUUCGCAUUUGAUCGAACUCCUCCUAGGGAUUUUGAUUGAUCUGCUUCAAACUCGGUCAGUCUGUUCAUAAGGCAUGUCCCAUCUAAAGUUAUCAAAACGGUGAGUUUUUGAGCAUGCUGAAGGGGGGUUAGCAGGGGUCAAAGUUCACCUACUCGCCAUAAAAAAACAAAAAAACUGUUAUAUCUCCUACACAGAAACUCACACAGGCACCAAAGUUACUGUGAUUGAUCAUCAUCGGGUGUCCUAGAAUACCCUAUGGUCGAAUGAUGACAUCACUUAGGCCACGCCCCCUGAGAACAGGAAGUGUCAUGUUUUACUGUGAAUGGUUGCUAUCUGACCCCUUUGACCUCAUCAGCAUGAAACUGCCCAGAGAGAGAAUUCAUGUUGGUGUGUUGAGGAUUCAAACCCAGACCAGCUUCGAUGGAGCAGGUGGGCGUGGCGGCGUGGCCAACUUUGACUAUUUGCCGUGAAACAUCAAGAUUCAGUAACUUGCAAAUGCAAGAUUACAGCUGCAUCACACUUCCUAUGUCUCACUACAGAACAGCACAGAACACAUUUACAUGGUCACUUGAUGACAUCACCUUAGCCCAGCUAACACCCCAGCAGCCCAUGAAAUAUAGGUUAUGUUAUGCAGGUUAACAUAUUAAUUAUUUAAAUAUACAUUAUUAUAAGUUUUCGGUUUUUUUUGUUUUUUCUUUUAUAAUUUUGUUUUGUGGGUUAGAGUACAAACAUUCAUUCAUUUUGGUUAGAAAUAAUAGAAAGGACGUCCUUCAUCAGCAGUGUUUACAAACCAUUUCAGUAAUUCGCCAGUAGGGGUCAGUAUUAUUCCACCAAUGAAACAACUUGCAUUACAAAGCAGCUAAGAUGUCAAAACAGAUCGACGGGCGGAUGGGCGUGAAAACUUUGCGAGAGCGUCUGCCGUGACAUUUUCAAAAUGAAACUCGGAGGUUAUAUGUAACCCCCCGGGUAAUGUUUGUUGGCAUAAAACACGAGUAAAUGUAGCGUUUUUGUUAAUAACUGUUAUUUACUACCACAAGUAAAUGCAUCAAUUCCACUCGUUCCUACCUUAUUGGUCAUUCAAGGGCCAAAACAAAUUUAAGCAAUUUGAUUGGUUGUGAUGGACUGAACUGUACUGGAAGCUAAUAGGUUCUGUCUGUCGGCCGUGGCCGUUCAUGGUCGAGGUUCGGAUUGUUCUGCUGUGGACUGUAAUUUAUUUUUGCUAACCAGUUGGAGCUGCUAACUUUUUCUGAACAUUUUGCAUGGUUUAUGGAGCCACAGAACCGGACUACGCUGAACGUUUUGCUUGGGUUUUUGGAGCUGCAGACCCGAACCACGCUGGUGAGCCGGAACGGACUGUUGGACCGGAGCAGUUUUAUUACCGUUCGUUUAAAAAACUGGUAACUCGCGAUGCGGUGAGACCCCCCUUCCUCAUGCUGGUUCUGGGAGCCGUCAUGUUCGGAAGAGUUAUUCUGAGGAAGAUGCUAACCCAGUUCCUCAGGCCUGCAACAUUUGUAAAGCUAAAGUAGCAUUUUACUAAUUAAAGAAACUGAAUAGUGUGUUUGAUACAUUCAGCCUUGUUUGUUAUUAUGUAUAGAAGAUGUUUAAA